GAUAAGAACGUAGCGAAAUGCGAUACUUGGUGUGAAUUGCAGAAUCCCGUGAACCAUCGAGUCUUUGAACGCAAGUUGCGCCCGAAGCCUCGGCUAAGGGCACGUCUGCCUGGGCGUCACGCAUCGCGUCUCCCCCAAACCGCCAAGGCGGAGGGGAAGGAAGAUGGCUUCCCGUGCCUCACCCGGGCGCGGUUGGCCUAAAUUUGGAGCCCGCGGCACUUAGCUCUCGCGGCGAUAGGUGGUGAACAAGGCCUUGGCCGUGCAAACAACCUGCUGCGAAGCUCUAUGUCACGUGCGCUCGUCGGACCCUUUGAAGUUGCCUUUGGUGACUUAAAACCUUUGCGACCCCAGGUCAGGCGGGGCUACCCGCUGAAUUUAAGCAUAUCAAUAAGCGGAGGA
rnacentral:misc_RNA from 1 species